rnacentral:lncRNA from 1 species
UUUCUUGGAUGCUCUGUCAAUGAGCUACAGCUUGCCUGGUUUUAUUUAAAUAAAACACAAAUAAGACUGACAUGAGAAGAUGAUUGCUAAGAUAUUAAUGCAGUGAGUGCAGUAUGUUUUACAGUCACUGUGAUUUGUCUGCAUCUAUUCCUCUGCUGCUUUACCUCUGCUUGCGUGGGUUCUUUUGGGCAGCGGUGUGGUGGGACAGAAAGACAUCUGAGGUGCCUCUUCUUCACCCAGUCCUAUGUACAGAAACCAGGGAGCAUAAGGGAAUCCAUUCUGACUACCUGAAAGCCAUUCCCAUCCAUGCUCCAUCCUACUGAAAUGAGGAAAGAGUGUCCAAAGUCUCCACCGGGUCUUAAGGAAUCAAGCAAUGGAGAAAUCUGCUGCCGUUCUGUUCAUCCCAUCAUCUUGAGACAGCUAUCAGAACACAGCUGGCAU